UGGCGUGCUAGAAGAAUGCUUUCCAGAUUCCGAGAGCAACGACGAGAACGUGAGGACGAAGUUACUACCUCGCCGGCGAAGAGCGUCGUCGGCCGGCGAGAGGACGGCCGCCGGCCAGCAAGAAUUUUCUGGUUUGGAGGUUUCCAGCAGCAGGGGAGCACUGUAGCUCCUCGGCUAGUUUCCUGAGUACUCUAGCCCCGUUUCCUCCGCCCUCAUAUAGUCUGUUUUUCUGUUGUUUUUUCUCAAAUUCCAUCCUCCAUUGUUGAUUCCUUCUCUUCCGCCGUCGUCCAGUCGGAGGAGGCCGAAUUCCGAUCUCCGCUCGCCUCGUCUCUUUCUCGCACGCAGCUGAAGUAGAAGGAGCGGAAGAGUAGAAGAAGUGGAGCAGGGAAUUGUGGUGUUCGGGG
rnacentral:lncRNA from 1 species